rnacentral:rRNA from 1 species
GGCGAACGGGUGAGUAAUGCAUCGGAACGUACCCAUUAGUGGGGGAUAACUCUCCGAAAGGAGGGCUAAUACCGCAUAUUCUGUGAGCAGGAAAGCAGGGGAUCGCAAGACCUUGCGCUAAUGGAGCGGCCGAUGUCAGAUUAGCUAGUUGGUGAGGUAAAGGCUCACCAAGGCGACGAUCUGUAGCGGGUCUGAGAGGAUGAUCCGCCACACUGGAACUGAGACACGGUCCAGACUCCUACGGGAGGCAGCAGUGGGGAAUUUUGGACAAUGGGGGCAACCCUGAUCCAGCCAUGCCGCGUGAGUGAAGAAGGCCUUCGGGUUGUAAAGCUCUUUCGGCCGGGAAGAAAUCGCAUGGGUUAAUACCCUGUGUGGAUGACGGUACCGGAAUAAGAAGCACCGGCUAACUACGUGCCAGCAGCCGCGGUAAUACGUAGGGUGCGAGCGUUAAUCGGAAUUACUGGGCGUAAAGCGUGCGCAGGCGGUUUUGUAAGACAGGCGUGAAAUCCCCGGGCUUAACCUGGGAACUGCGCUUGUGACUGCAAGGCUAGAGUACGGCAG